rnacentral:lncRNA from 1 species
UCUGGCAGGUGUAGAGCCCUCUGGACAUCAGUCUACCAUCUGACAGGUGUAGAGCCCUCUGUUGUAGUCUACCAUCUAACAGGUGUAGAGCCCUCUGGACAUCAGUCUACCAUCUGACAGGUGUAGAGCCCUCUGCUGUAGUCUACCAUCUAACAGGUGUAGAGCCCUCUGGACAUCAGUCUACCAUCUGACAGGUGUAGAGCCCUCUGGAUAUCAGUCUACCAUCUGACAGGUGUAGAGCCCUCUGUUGUAGUCUACCAUCUGACAGGUGUAGAGCCCUCUGGACAUCAGUCUACCAUCUGACAGGUGUAGAGCCCUCUGGACAUCAGUCUACCAUCUGACAGGUGUAGAGCCCUCUGCUGUAGACUACCAUCUGACAGGUGUAGAGCCCUCUGGACAUCAGUCUACCAUGUUAGAGGUGUAGAGCCCUCUGCUGUAGACUACCAUCUGACAGGUGUAGAGAAAAGUGGUCAGAUGAAUCAGAUGCUAAGCUACAGGACUGUUUUGCUA